UACGGGGGGGGCUAGCGUUGUUCGGAAUUACUGGGCGUAAAGCGCACGUAGGCGGCUUUGCAAGUCAGAGGUGAAAGCCCGGGGCUCAACCCCGGAAUUGCCUCUGAGACUGCAUCGCUAGAAUUGUGGAGAGGUAAGUGGAAUUCCGAGUGUAGAGGUGAAAUUCGUAGAUAUUCGGAAGAACACCAGUGGCGAAGGCGACUUACUGGACACAUAUUGACGCUGAGGUGCGAAAGCGUGGGGAGCAAACAGG
rnacentral:rRNA from 1 species